CGAACGGAGUACCCUCGAAAGAGAUUUCGGUCAAUGGAGAGGACUACUUAGCGCCUGACGGGUGAGUAACGCGUGAGGAACCUGCCUUUCAGAGGGGGACAACAGUUGGAAACGACUGCUAAUACCGCAUAACGUACGGGUAUCGCAUGGUACUGGUACCAAAGAUUUAUCGCUGAGAGAUGGCCUCGCGUCUGAUUAGCUAGUUGGUAGGGUAACGGCCUACCAAGGCGACGAUCAGUAGCCGGACUGAGAGGUUGGCCGGCCACAUUGGGACUGAGAUACGGCCCAGACUCCUACGGGAGGCAGCAGUGGGGAAUAUUGGGCAAUGGGCGCAAGCCUGACCCAGCAACGCCGCGUGAAGGAAGAAGGCUUUCGGGUUGUAAACUUCUUUUGACAGGGAAGAGCAGAAGACGGUACCUGUCGAAUAAGCCACGGCUAACUACGUGCCAGCAGCCGCGGUAAUACGUAGGUGGCAAGCGUUGUCCGGAUUUACUGGGUGUAAAGGGCGUGUAGCCGGGCUGACAAGUCAGAUGUGAAAUCCGGGGGCUCAACCCCCGAACUGCAUUUGAAACUGUUGGUCUUGAGUAUCGGAGAGGCAGGCGGAAUUCCUAGUGUAGCGGUGAAAUGCGUAGAUAUUAGGAGGAACACCAGUGGCGAAGGCGGCCUGCUGGACGACAACUGACGGUGAGGCGCGAAAGCGUGGGGAGCAAACAGGA
rnacentral:rRNA from 1 species